rnacentral:misc_RNA from 1 species
AAAACUACUGUAAAGGAAAACCCAUCGAUCACGGCUUGACAUAUAAAUCGUUGAAAUUUCAACACGUCCAGGAAUUCCACUUUAGUGUAAUUAGCUCGUCUAUUGCUGGCCUAUCGAUCUGCCAAGACGCGCGUGUCAAUUAAGCCACUCGGACCAAGAGGACCCGCGUUGUAAGCCUAGUAACGUUACAAAAUUUCGUCAACUUUCUGUGGAUCUUGGUCAGGGCCCAAAUAUCAAUCACUUCGCCCAAAGUAGGUAAAUGUUCGGUGACUUAUCAACGAAAGUGUACAUAUCUAUAUAUGUAAUAACUAGAUCUUGGUAAGAAGAACGUGCGCACGAGAUACAGAAAUGUAGAAAAAUAUAUAUCGUGGAAGAAAAAAAGAAACAGAAGGAGAAGCUAGAAACAGG